GACGAACGCUGGCGGCGUGCUUAACACAUGCAAGUCGAACGAUGAAGCCUAGCUUGCUAGGUGGAUUAGUGGCGAACGGGUGAGUAAUACGUGAGUAACCUACCUUUAACUCUGGGAUAAGCCUGGGAAACUGGGUCUAAUACCGGAUACGACCAAUCUCCGCAUGGGGUGUUGGUGGAAAGCGUUAUGUAGUGGUUAUAGAUGGGCUCACGGCCUAUCAGCUUGUUGGUGAGGUAACGGCUCACCAAGGCGACGACGGGUAGCCGGCCUGAGAGGGUGACCGGCCACACUGGGACUGAGACACGGCCCAGACUCCUACGGGAGGCAGCAGUGGGGAAUAUUGCACAAUGGGCGCAAGCCUGAUGCAGCGACGCCGCGUGAGGGAUGACGGCCUUCGGGUUGUAAACCUCUGUUAGCAGGGAAGAAGAGAAAUUGACGGUACCUGCAGAGAAAGCGCCGGCUAACUACGUGCCAGCAGCCGCGGUAAUACGUAGGGCGCGAGCGUUGUCCGGAAUUAUUGGGCGUAAAGAGCUUGUAGGCGGUUUGUCGCGUCUGCUGUGAAAGGCCGGGGCUUAACCCCGUGUAUUGCAGUGGGUACGGGCAGACUAGAGUGCAGUAGGGGAGACUGGAACUCCUGGUGUAGCGGUGGAAUGCGCAGAUAUCAGGAAGAACACCGAUGGCGAAGGCAGGUCUCUGGGCUAUAACUGACGCUGAGAAGCGAAAGCAUGGGGAGCGAACAGG
rnacentral:rRNA from 1 species